CUGGAAGGGAGGCAAAGCUGACCCCAGUUAAGGUCUAUUUAUGAAGUUGUAAGAUUCUGGAGAGCAUACAGGGACAUCUACUCAUCUUACUGCCAAGAGAAGCCCGGGUUACAUGGGAUGGCUGAUAUAACCUACUCUAUCCUACGUGGCAGCAGAAGGCAUCUCCUGGGAUACUAAAGUUUGGAGUCCCUUUUGACUUAAGGUAGGAGGAGAGUCUAUUUCCAGCUAUGGAAUCAAGGUCAGAAGCAGAAGUUCCAGUCCUUGCUAGGUG